UAACACGUAGGGUGCGAGCGUUGUCCGGAAUUAUUGGGCGUAAAGAGCUCGUAGGCGGUCCGUCACGUCGGAUGUGAAAUUCCAGGGCUCAACCCUGGACCUGCAUUCGAUACGGGCGGACUAGAGUUCGGUAGGGGAGACUGGAAUUCCUGGUGUAGCGGUGAAAUGCGCAGAUAUCAGGAGGAACACCGGUGGCGAAGGCGGGUCUCUGGGCCGAUACUGACGCUGAGGAGCGAAAGCGUGGGGAGCGAACAGGAUUAGAUACCCUGGUAGUCCACGCCGUAAACGUUGGGCGCUAGGUGUGGGGGACCUUCCACGUCCUCUGUGCCGCAGCUAACGCAUUAAGCGCCCCGCCUGGGGAGUACGGCCGCAAGGCUA
rnacentral:rRNA from 1 species